CUGCUAUCCUUGGGAUUGUGUGCUAUCAAACCUGAGGUUAUCUUCAAAUUGGAGCAAAGAGCAGAGCCAUGGAUCCUAGAAGAAACUCUAAUCCAGAGCCUUCCAGUUGCCAGGAAAAUGGAUGACCUGAGUAGGGCCAGCCACGAAAAUCAAGACAUAAAUUUGAGGCAAGUAGUAAUAAUUACAACACAUCAUCUCAUGAGAAUUGAAUAAUGAAAAGGAUGUAGUUUCAAGUGAUGCUAUAUUUUACAGCUGAUUAUGAAGAAAGGAGAUUAUUCAAGAAUGGAAUCUGAGGCAUGUAAUGUGUCCUUAUAGGAAGCCUGAUGAGAGGCAAGCUAGA
rnacentral:lncRNA from 1 species